rnacentral:lncRNA from 1 species
AAAAUAUCUAUACUAUCAAUUAUAUUUUAACUUUUAGAUAAUACAAAUAUAUAUGUCCAUAUAUUAUUUAUAUGAAAAGUCAACCUUACAAACAAACAAACCACCUUCUUUUAGACAUACUAAUAAUGAGUUUUCUAAUUCAAUUAGGCAAACUUUUUAACCCACCAAUUUUUUUACCUGAAACACCUCAGAACCAAAGUAUUCAACCAACCACUUCCAUUGAUCUUCUGGGACUGAAGGAGGCUUAUUUCGUAUGUUUUGUUGAUAAGUUGCUUCGGGAUUGUAAUAUUUUGCUUUCAUCUUAUACUUUCUUUGCCUAUAACGAUCACGUAGCAUGUCCAUGACGUGUUCUUUGUUGAUCUCUGACAAAAUAAAUUUCUCCUACAAAAGUAAUAGAAGAUUAGUUGAGAAAAAAUAAAAAGUUUAUAAUAAAUAACUAAUCCAAGUAAUAGAAUGCAACUACUUAGCUACUUAUCUGCAUUUGUAGUAAGAGAGCUCAGUCACACAAUUAUACUAAAAUGCAAAUAAUAGGAAUGGAAGUAUGUAGCCCGAAUUAGCCUUGUUUGGUAACCAAUUAUUGAAUAUAUACACUGCCAAAAUGUACCUAGACUAUCACUUAUCCCGAAAUAAAGAGGCAAAUGUUAAAUCUAGGCAAUUCAAUCCAAUUUUAUAGAUUAUUAGCGUCUGACAUGUACAAUCAUGAAUAAAACAAACAUAAAAUUAUAAAACCCUACGAUAAAUCGAAGGAUAUAAAGCUAAUUCGGAACUAUUCAGCAUGUCAGAUAACAAAAUUAAUAACACAAGAAAGUAUAAAAUAGCAAAUGCCAAAUAUGUGAGCAUCGAACCUAUUUGGAAGAAGUAGAUUGGAUGUUGAUUAAUGGAAUGGAGUAGAUUGGAUGAUGAUUAAUGGAAUGGUAUAUCUUCUCAUUCAAAUUUAAGCUCUAUCAAACUUAUAUUUGAACUAUCAAUAUCAGCGUGUUAUGCUGAACAAGAUAUUUAUGCAUUCAAACAAGCUGUAAACAGUCUGUCGGUAUCCUUGGAUUGUAUGCGGAAAAGGCAGAAAAAAUAAUCGAUCCAUGCUAAUUUACUUGCACUAAUUGUACGCAAUGAAUUCAUAUAAGAUUUGUGGUUUGUCAUUACCAGAUAUUAGUUUUCCCUUGCAAGUUACACUUCGCCUAACCAAAUUUAUUUAUCUAUUUUAUUAUUGUUCAGUUAGUGUGUCCGACAAUGCAGCAUUGGGAUGUAGGAGUAAAACUGUCAUUCUCAUUCAAUUCUUCUGUACACAAUUCUUGUAAAUAUAAUUUUGUCCAUUCUGAGCUAUCUAUAAUGUUUUAACUAAAUGUCCCGGGUGCAUUCAAAAGAGAGCAGUUCAUUAUUUCUUUAUUUAUCUGAACCUUUAACCUUUCAUUCAGGUCAGAGGUGAACAGCACCCAAGAAAACUAGGCAAUGCUGGGAGAUUUCGACAUCUGAAAAUUUUUUUUGCAGCAAUAAACAGAAGCCGGAAUCUCGAUGCAAGUUAAACAACAUGAUAAAAGCCUUUGAUGUGAUCAACAGAGUGGAGAUCCUAAAGUUAUAAGCCCUCACAUGGUUUAUAAAUAUAAUGAAGCAGCUUUUGCUUGAAGUGUGAAAACUGUGAAUGGCUUUUUUUUUGGUGUGUUAGAGAGAUUGUUGUCAUUUGAUGAUAGUAUCACAUGUGUUCUACAUUUAUAUUCUGCUUUUCUAGCUUCAAGAAAAGUAAUUCAUCAGUAAAUCUAGAAGCUGAAGGAGGUUAAUUGCAUUCUGAUGGUUCUGAACUUCAUAGAAAAUGUAUAGGCAAUUUAUUUGCAACUAUAUUCAUAUUCACUUGCUGGUAGAAUUGGUAGUAACACUACAUUCAAUUUAUUUGCAACUAAUCCAGUACCCAGAAGAUCAAUAUUAUCAUAUAAAUCAUCGAAAAUUUUAAUGAUUAGCAUAUAUACCAUCUGGCCCUAUUUAGCAGUUUUCUUAAUCUCAGCAAUAAGCUUCUUUUCCUGGGCUUGAAGGCCUUGCCUCUCCCUCAAUCUUAAUCUCAGCAAUUUUAAUGAUUUCUAGAACCAGCUAAUGAAGCAUAAAGGACCUCAACAGUCCACAACCACAUUGCUUCCACUUCUAAGAACCGAGCUUCAAAAAUGCACCACUUACCCAAUAAACCAAAAAUCUCAAUGAACCUGACAAUACAAUAGAGAUGAGAACCUCAACCCCUUACCAAUCAACAAAAUUCCCCGUAAAAUUCAGUAUAUUGUUUUCAAUUUCACACAAACCUUAGAAAUUAAUCACAAAUUAAGCUCAUCAGCUAAUUAUAUAUAUAUAANUAUAUAUAUAUAUAUAUAUAUAUAUAUAAACAACAACAACACAACACAAAUCAAGUAAAUUCUAAAAUAAACCAAUCAAUCGAAAGAGAGAAAGCCCCAAAUACCUAUAGAUCCCGAGAUCGGGGGUAUAUCCGAGGACCUCGAGGAGUUGAUGUUUGAAGCCGAAGCCGAGCCCUACGCGGCCUUGGCGAUGCCGACGCCGCCGCCGCGCUCAUGAUGUGCGGCGGCAGGGAGUGGCGAUGAGACGGAUGCGGGGUGGGGAUCGGGUGCACCUGCGUCGAUCGCUGCUCGUACCCGCCGCUGAAGCUCCGCGGCAGCUCCCGUCCCCUCCGAUUCCGCGUGGUGAUCGCCGGAGAUCUCACCGGCGGCGAUCACCGGAGAUCUCGGCAGGAACGAUUUGAAUGGGAAGGGAUUGGGGGAAAAAAAACGUGGGGUACGUAUGUAAUUGGAAUUAGGUGGGGGUUGGAAACUUAAAAUACAAUGUGAAAAGACGAAUAAAUAAAAGAAGUGUUGAUAACUUGGGAAACAUCAGAUGUGGUACGGUGGUUAAGAGGGGUGGAGGAUUUGUAAAGGUUACGGGUUCAAGUCUCACUAACUUAUUUUUUGUGACAGUUUUUUUUUUUUUGUUUUGUAACUAAAGGCUUUUU